AGGUGGUGCAUGGUUGUCGUCAGCUCGUGCCGUGAGGUGUUGGGUUAAGUCCCGCAACGAGCGCAACCCCUAUUGCUAGUUGCUAACAUUCAGUUGAGGACUCUAGUGAGACUGCCAGUGAUAAACGUGGAGGAAGUGGGGAUGACGUCAAAUCAUCAUGCCCUUUAUGACCUGGGCUACAAACGUACUACAAUGGCCAAUACAAAGAGAUGCGAAGUCGCGAGAUGGAGCGAACCUCAUAAAAAUGGUCUCAGUUCAGAUUGAAGUCUGCAACUCGACUUCAUGAAGGCGGAAUCGCUAGUAAUCGCGGGUCAGCAGACCACGGUGAAUACGUUCCCGGGUUUU
rnacentral:rRNA from 1 species